CUUCCCGCUUCGGAAUCUUAGUCGGAAUCGGAAGCUCUCGAAAGCUUUCGGAAUCUCGCUUCCAUAAUGCUUCUAAAAAAUUCAUUUUGGAAGCUCCUUGGAAGCUUACGAUUCUAUUUUGGAAGGUUGCGAUUCCAUUUAAAAAAUUUGAUGUCACAAAAUAAAUAAGAAAUAAGAAAUUAUUUUUGAUAGUUUUUUUAUACAACAAAAGAAAAAC
rnacentral:lncRNA from 1 species